CCUACGGGUGGCAGCAGUAGGGAAUAUUGCUCAAUGGGCGAAACCCUGAACCAGCCACGCCGCGUGGAGGAUGAUGGUUUUCGGAUUUUAAACUCCUUUUGUUAGAGAAGAUUAUGACUGUAUCUUGCGCAUAAGCACCUGCUAACUAAGUACCAGCCGCCUCUCUAAUAGGGAGGGUGCACGCGUUACUCGGAAGAACUGGGCGUAAAGAGCGCGUUGGCGGGAUAGCAAGUCAGAUGGGAAAUCCUAUGGCUUAAUCAUAGAACUGCAUUUGACACUGUUAUUCUGGAGUAUGUGAGGGGUAGGUGGAAUUCGUGGUGUAGGGGUAAAAGCCGUAGAGAUCA
rnacentral:rRNA from 1 species